GAGAUAGCGGCAAAAGGGUUAGUAACAGGUGGGUAAUCUACCCGAGAUUGAGGAAUAGCCAAGGGAAACCUUGGGUAAUACCUCGUACACUUGCCAAACGACAGUUUGGUUCGUAAAGGCGGGGACCGCAAGGCCUGCCGAUUUCGGAGGAGCCCGCUCGAUAUCAGCUAGUUGGUGAGGUAAUGGCUCACCAAGGCUUCGACGUCUAGGGGGCAUUAGUGUGUGUUCCCCAACACCGGGACUGAGACACUGCCCGGACUCCUACGGGAGGCUGCAGUCGAGAAUAUUUUCCAAUGCGCGAAAGCGUGAGAAUGCGACGCCGCGUGGAGGAUGAAGGCCUUCGGGUUGUAAACUCCUUUUAAGAGGGAAGAAAAGUCGGAGGUUAAUACCUUUCGACCGUGACGUUACCUCUUGAAUAAGCAACGGCUAAACCUGUGCCAGCAGCCGCGGUAAUACAGGUGUUGCAAGCGUUACUCGGAUUCACUGGGUGUAAAGGGUCAGCAGGCGGCUUUGUAAGUCUUAGGUGAAAUCCAGCGGCUCAACUGCUGAAGUGCCUAAGAUACUGCAUGGCUAGAGUACGAUAGAGGAGAGUGGAACAGCUAGUGUAAAGGUGAAAUUUGUGGAUAUUAGCUGGAACGCCAACGGUGAAGACAGCUCUCUGGAUCGAUACUGACGCUCAGGGACGAAAGCGUAGUAGCAAACAGGAUUAGAUACCCUGGUAGUCUACGCUGUAAACUAUGGUCACUGGCUGUCUGGGUCUUCGGACUUGGGCGGCGAAGCUAACGCGUUAAGUGACUCACCUGGGGACUACGGUCGCAAGGCUAAAACUCAAAGGAAUUGACGGGGGCCCGCACAAGCGGUGGAACAUGUGGUUUAAUUCGAUGCUACGCGAGGAACCUUACCAGGGUUUGAAAAGCAAGAAGUAGAAAACUGAAAGGUCUACGACCGGUAUCCAGUCCGGAACUUGUACAGGUGCUGCAUGGUUGUCGUCAGCUCGUGCCGUGAGGUGUCGCCUUAAGUGGCUUAACGAGCGCAACCCUUAUUGCUAGUUGCUAAUUUACUCUUAGUAGAUGCACUCUAGUGAGACUGCCCGUGUUAAACGGGAGGAAGGUGAGGAUGACGUCAAAUCCGCAUGGCCCUUAUAUCCUGGGCUACACACGUGUUACAAUGCUCGAUACAAAGGGACGCCAAACCGUGAGGUGGAGCAAAUCCCAAAAAGUCGAGCCCAGUUCGGAUUGUAGGCUGAAACUCGCCUACAUGAAGUUGGAAUCGCUAGUAAUGGCGCAUCAGCGACGGCGCCGUGAAUACGUUCCCGGGCCUUGUACACACCGCCCGUCAAGCGCUGAAAGUGGGGGGCACCCGAAGAGGCCACCUAACGUGGUUUUCACGGUGAAGCUCGCAAUUGGUGCUAAGUCGUAACAAGGUA
rnacentral:rRNA from 1 species